UACGUAGGGUGCAAGCGUUAAUCGGAAUUACUGGGCGUAAAGCGUGCGCAGGCGGUUUUGUAAGACUGUCGUGAAAUCCCCGGGCUUAACCUGGGAAUGGCGAUGGUGACUGCAAGGCUAGAGUUUGGCAGAGGGGGGUAGAAUUCCACGUGUAGCAGUGAAAUGCGUAGAGAUGUGGAGGAACACCGAUGGCGAAGGCAGCCUCCUGGGUCAAAAACUGACGCUCAUGCACGAAAGCGUGGGGGAGCAAACAGG
rnacentral:rRNA from 1 species